rnacentral:rRNA from 1 species
AUUGAACGCUGGCGGCAGGCCUAACACAUGCAAGUCGAGCGGUAACACAGAGAGCUUGCUCUCGGGUGACGAGCGGCGGACGGGUGAGUAAUGUCUGGGAAACUGCCUGAUGGAGGGGGAUAACUACUGGAAACGGUAGCUAAUACCGCAUAACGUCGCAAGACCAAAGUGGGGGACCUUCGGGCCUCAUGCCAUCAGAUGUGCCCAGAUGGGAUUAGCUAGUAGGUGGGGUAAUGGCUCACCUAGGCGACGAUCCCUAGCUGGUCUGAGAGGAUGACCAGCCACACUGGAACUGAGACACGGUCCAGACUCCUACGGGAGGCAGCAGUGGGGAAUAUUGCACAAUGGGCGCAAGCCUGAUGCAGCCAUGCCGCGUGUAUGAAGAAGGCCUUCGGGUUGUAAAGUACUUUCAGCGAGGAGGAAGGCGUUAAGGUUAAUAACCUUGGCGAUUGACGUUACUCGCAGAAGAAGCACCGGCUAACUCCGUGCCAGCAGCCGCGGUAAUACGGAGGGUGCAAGCGUUAAUCGGAAUUACUGGGCGUAAAGCGCACGCAGGCGGUCUGUCAAGUCGGAUGUGAAAUCCCCGGGCUCAACCUGGGAACUGCAUUCGAAACUGGCAGGCUAGAGUCUUGUAGAGGGGGGUAGAAUUCCAGGUGUAGCGGUGAAAUGCGUAGAGAUCUGGAGGAAUACCGGUGGCGAAGGCGGCCCCCUGGACAAAGACUGACGCUCAGGUGCGAAAGCGUGGGGAGCAAACAGGAUUAGAUACCCUGGUAGUCCACGCCGUAAACGAUGUCGACUUGGAGGUUGUGCCCUUGAGGCGUGGCUUCCGGAGCUAACGCGCUAAGUCGACCGCCUGGGGAGUGCGGCCGCAAGGUUAAAACUCAAAUGAAUUGACGGGGGCCCGCACAAGCGGUGGAGCAUGUGGUUUAAUUCGAUGCAACGCGAAGAACCUUACCUACUCUUGACAUCCAGAGAACUUAGCAGAGAUGCUUUGGUGCCUUCGGGAACUCUGAGACAGGUGCUGCAUGGCUGUCGUCAGCUCGUGUUGUGAAAUGUUGGGUUAAGUCCCGCAACGAGCGCAACCCUUAUCCUUUGUUGCCAGCGGUCCGGCCGGGAACUCAAAGGAGACUGCCAGUGAUAAACUGGAGGAAGGUGGGGAUGACGUCAAGUCAUCAUGGCCCUUACGAGUAGGGCUACACACGUGCUACAAUGGCAUAUACAAAGAGAAGCGACCUCGCGAGAGCAAGCGGACCUCAUAAAGUAUGUCGUAGUCCGGAUUGGAGUCUGCAACUCGACUCCAUGAAGUCGGAAUCGCUAGUAAUCGUAGAUCAGAAUGCUACGGUGAAUACGUUCCCGGGCCU